GAGACACUUGAGCGCAGGCAGCAAAUUGAGUCUUUGGUGCAAGCUAAACGUGGUUUAGAGACUGAGUUAACUCGGACUAGUAUAGAGAAGACAGAUUUGGAGAAUCUGCUGACUCGGUCAACUGAGGACAGACUGAGUUUGGAGAUAGAGAAGGGGCUGUUUUGUGUUUUUAUUGAGACGAGGAUGAAUGAGAUGGGGGUUGUUGCGGAGGGCUUGUUAAGAGAAAAGGGAGAGAAAGAGAUUGAGAGUGUCUUCUUGAAGACUGAGGUGAAUGGGCUACUGGAAAAUCUUGAAAAUGAGAGACAGAAAUUGAGCUGGGCUUGUCGGGAUAGGGAUAUGUUGAGGUUUGAUCUGGACAACUGGGUGAACGAGGCAAAUGGCUUGAGGGAG
rnacentral:misc_RNA from 1 species